CCUACGGGGGGCAGCAGUGAGGAAUAUUGGUCAAUGGACGAGAGUCUGAACCAGCCAAGUAGCGUGAAGGAUGACUGCCCUAUGGGUUGUAAACUUCUUUUAUAUGGGAAUAAAAUGUUCCACGUGUGGGAUUUUGUAUGUACCAUAUGAAUAAGGAUCGGCUAACUCCGUGCCAGCAGCCGCGGUAAUACGGAGGAUCCGAGCGUUAUCCGGAUUUAUUGGGUUUAAAGGGAGCGUAGGUGGAUUGUUAAGUGAGUUGUGAAAGUUUGCGGCUCAACCGUAAAAUUGCAGUUGAAACUGGCAGUCUUGAGUACAGUAGAGGUGGGCGGAAUUCGUGGUGUAGCGGUGAAAUGCUUAGAUAUCACGAAGAACUCCGAUUGCGAAGGCAGUUCACUGGACUGCAACUGACACUGAGGCUCGAAAGUGUGGGUAUCAAACAGGAUUAGAUACCCUUGUAGUC
rnacentral:rRNA from 1 species